GGGAGAGAGGUUUGAAGGUGGGAGCUCAUAGCCAAAAGAAACACAAUUAGCAAACACGAUUAGCACACUCUCUUAUUACACUCUAGCUUCUCUAGGCCUAUCUCAACUCCUUUUGUCCCUACACUCGUCAUCAAGCAUCCACACAUUCAAAUCAACCAACUCUCACAUUCAUUAAGCACAAAACAUCUAGUGAAUUCUUGCAAAUGGUCAGUCGGUCCAAGUCAUUUGGGUAAGGGAAGGCUUUUAUUCAGGUGAAUCAAAAGGUUCGAAACAUAAAAUCUUUACGGUGGUUUACUCUCGAAACAAGUAGCCUUGACAUUGCACAUAAUAUAUCUAAGAAAGGGACUAACUCAUGCAUACAAUGCUCAAUCUCCAUUGUUCUACCCUUUUCCCAAACAUACAAUUACACAAUUUUUUCCAAAUGUCAAGCCCAACUCACAUCUCUCACCAAAAGAUCUCA
rnacentral:lncRNA from 1 species